ACAUUGCGGCCCGGGGAUCUUUCCCUGGGCCACGCCUGUCUGAGGGUCGAAUGAAAAACAAAGUCUCGCGAGCGCACAAAAGUCGAGAGACGUCUCGCUCUUUUUUGCCCGGCGCUCGCGGUGCGAGGGUUGGACCAUACAUGGUUCCGCAGGAAGGCUCGAUCCUUCCUCCCUCGAGAUGCAAAUGCUGCGCAGCCAGCGCAAUUCCGUUUCGCUGUGGCACGAGCUGCCAAGGAAUGGGCGAUUCGGGUUUGUUGGUAUGGUUUCUGUGACAGCAGAUGUAUAAAACAUUGUUAACCACGACCUCAGAUCAGACGAGAAAACCCGCUGAAUUUAAGCAUAUCACU
rnacentral:rRNA from 1 species